AUUGAACGCUGGCGGCAGGCCUAACACAUGCAAGUCGAGCGGAUGAAGGGAGCUUGCUCCUGGAUUCAGCGGCGGACGGGUGAGUAAUGCCUAGGAAUCUGCCUGGUAGUGGGGGAUAACGUCCGGAAACGGGCGCUAAUACCGCAUACGUCCUGAGGGAGAAAGUGGGGGAUCUUCGGACCUCACGCUAUCAGAUGAGCCUAGGUCGGAUUGGCUAGUUUGUGGGGUAAAGGCCUACCAAGGCGACGAUCCGUAACUGGUCUGAGAGGAUGAUCAGUCACACUGGAAGUGAGACACGGUCCAGACUCCUACGGGAGGCAGCAGUGGGGAAUAUUGGACAAUGGGCGGAAGCCUGAUCCAGCCAUGCCGCGUGUGUGAAGAAGGUCUUCGGAUUGUAAAGCACGUUAAGUUGGGAGGAAGGGCAGUAAGUUAAUACCUUGCUGUUUUGACGGUACCAACAGAAUAAGCACCGGCUAACUUCGUG
rnacentral:rRNA from 1 species